GGGAUGUGAGUCUUUAGGCUUAAGGGAAAGAGUGAAUUUCGCUUAAGGUAUUAAGUGCUGGUGCUAGAUUAAGUAGGUGAGGCCAACCCUGAAGCGCAUACCCUUCGGUGUACCACCAAAUGGAAAAGAAGGCGCGAGAUCAGUUGGUGGGAGCUGGAUCAGCGGUAGGCUUUCUGAAAAGCGCCUGGGCUAACUGUGACCCCUGAAAGAAACUGAAGAGAUGCAGUCGAAGGGCGAGUCUUUCCUGGAAAAGGCUGCCCACACCUCUUCCUCAUCUUAAUGGUGGAGUCCUAGCUCUCCAGGGGGAAUUAAGGAAUUUCCUCAACUUGAGAAUUUCUCGGGGUUGUGAUGCACCACCCCAAUGAUAUUCUGGAUGCCUUCAGAAUGCUGUCCGAGGAGAUAUUCAGCAAGCUGUCAUCUGUAGGAGCUUAGUAGACAGCAACACCUGGGACCUGGGUAAGGCCUACAAUCUAGGUGGAGUCACACUCUAGCACAGAGCCAACAAUGUAUUCAUGAGACUCACCAGGGAUCUGAUUUUUUUUUUUUUUUUAAGACAUGGGGUCUUUCUACAUAGUCCUGGAACUCACUACAUAGACCUGGCUGACCUUGAAUUCACGCGGAUUCACCCGCCUCUGCCUCCAAGUUCUGGGACUAAAAGCCUGUGCCACCACGCCCUCAAGCUCAGGAAUCUUAAGUGCAAGAACGGGAGGAAAGCACGCCGGCUAGGAAAGGGGAAGGACUAGAUUCCGUUUCAUGUCCCUUCCCAGUCCUCCUUCAGCUCCAUUACUUCCUUAUUUUCCAUCCCCCCGGUCGAUGGAGAAGAAAAUCCUUCAGGAAAAAUGUCUUAGUCCGCGAAAGAGAAGAGCUGGGUUUAUGAUGGACCGUUGAAGCUAUGGAAAAGCAACACUUGAGAAAGACCCUUCUGGAAGGAUAGGAAUAAGGAACUCUCUCAUUGGCGCUGGCGUUUUCUCUCGCGUGUCUGGACAGGUUCUUCUGCAGCCUCCGAUUUUUAUCGACGACCGACCUUGCCGCCCUUCGAGACCCAUCUUGGCCGCCAGUCCUGAGAAAAGAUCUCUCAGCCGAGAGAGGAGAAGUGGGUCUGACUGCCAUUAGCUAACUGCGGCUUCUCAGUCUGUUAAAGGGGUGGAGGGACAAGACUCGCAGGCACCCGGAGCCAGCCACAGGACGGAGGGUGACUGCUGGAGGUCUGCGUGACCCGCGCUACUACUAACCAAACAGAAAUGGAAAAAAGAUUCUGAUUCUCAACAGAUAAUCCUAAGUUCUAGAGUGGGGCUGAGCACUUAGAAAUCAGGCUAGUGUCCUCCCGUGUGGUAGUUUCUAAAGCACUGGAACUUUUGGUACAGUUAGAAGUCAUAGGAAAACAGAAACCUCGCCUGAGUUCACUGUUUCAGCCCCAGGAUGUAGAACCAGGGUCUGCAACCUAACAGAAGCUUGAUCCUAAACUCCUUGGGGACAGUGAUGUGUUUUCUGUGGCGGCUCUUAAGUCUUUAAUUACAGGACCCUCCGCAUUUGUU